rnacentral:tRNA from 1 species
GCGUCGGUGGUUCAGUGGUAGAAUACUCGCCUGCCACGCGGGGGACCCGGGUUUGAUUCCCAGCCGACGCA